GAUGAACGCUAGCGGCAGGCCUAACACAUGCAAGUCGAGGGAGAGGUUACCUUCGGGUAACCAAAACCGGCGCACGGGUGCGUAACGCGUAUACAAUCUGCCUUUCACAUAGGGAUAGCCCGAAGAAAUUUGGAUUAAUACCUAAUGGUAUAUAAGAGCGGCAUCGUUUUUAUCUUAAAGCUACGGUGGUGAAAGAUGAGUAUGCGUUCUAUUAGCUAGUUGGAGAGGUAACGGCUCCCCAAGGCGACGAUAGAUAGGGGUUCUGAGAGGGAUGUCCCCCACACUGGUACUGAGAUACGGACCAGACUCCUACGGGAGGCAGCAGUGAGGAAUAUUGGACAAUGGUCGGAAGACUGAUCCAGCCAUGCCGCGUGCAGGAUGAAGGUCCUAUGGAUUGUAAACUGCUUUUGUAAGGGAAGAAUAAGGAGUACGUGUACUUUGAUGACGGUACCUUACGAAUAAGCAUCGGCUAACUCCGUG
rnacentral:rRNA from 1 species